GCUUGGGUACGGUGAAUCCAGCUAAUCGGAAAUGGGGAGAGUAAUGAGGAGUUGCGUACAAUCUGUACUGAAGUUGCUGAAUUCUGUCAUGGGAAUGGUUGGGUUGGGGAUGAUAUUGUAUGCAGUUUGGCUCAUUAGGGUCUGGCAAAAGGAAAUGGGUGACUUACCAUUUGAUGAUUCUGAUCGUCUGGCUCCCUGGUUUAUUUAUACUUUCCUUGGCCUCGGGGUUACUUUAUGUGUUAUUACAUGCUUAGGUCAUGUUGCUGCAGAAACUGCAAAUGGUUGUUGCCUUUAUUUAUAUAUGUUGUUUGUCUUCUUGCUCUUUAUGCUGGAGGCUGGAGUGACUGCUGAUGUAUUUCUAAACCGUGACUGGGAAGAGGACUUUCCGGAGGAUCCAUCCGGGAGUUUUAAUCAGUUCAAAGAUUUCAUAAGGUCAAACUUUGAGAUGUGCAAAUGGAUCGGCUUGUCAAUUGUGUCUGUGCAGGGACUAUCUUUCUUACUAGCAUUGAUACUCAAAGCGCUUGGGCCGCAUCAAUAUUAUGAUAGUGAUUAUGAAUAUGCUCCUGAAAGGGUUCCACUCCUAAAUAAUGCUGUUAUCCCACCUCCUUAUGUUGUUGGUAACCCUAUUGUUGGAUCCAAAAGCGAUGCAUGGACUAUAAAGACUAAUGAAAAGGCCAACAGGUAACAGGAUUUCCCCAAAACCGGGCUGGAUACUUCGAAAGAUGGGAACUGAAGAGGCAGAAGAAGCCUAUAAUCUGAUGUCUAAGAGCUCAGAUGAAUGUCUGAAGGUUGAAAAUAGAAAAGCAUACAACUGUUGUACUCUUGGUGGAUCCGGCAGCCUGUACAUGUGUGAAUCCUUUCAGUAUUUGCAUUCAAAAACUAAUGACAGCAUCACCGG
rnacentral:misc_RNA from 1 species